UGCAGCAAUCUUUGCUCCAUUACCGAUCUGAAGGAUCAUGUCACCUUCUCUCAACCUCCUAUUUUCUAUCAGACCCUGCAUUGAGGUACAUAUAUGAGCACUCAGAGCCAGAGUCCAAUAUCCAACUAGAAGUAGAAGAAACUGUAAGGUUAGAUUCUAUUACGAGCAUACCUUCGAAAGGUUUAUCAUCCUUUUUGGU
rnacentral:lncRNA from 1 species